AAACAUAAACAUUAUUACUCAUACUUAAAAUGUUACAAAAUUUUCAAUUGUUUGUCAUUACUAACAUUGUAGUAUCCAUUCACAUUUUACAUGUACAUCUCUUCAUACAUCAGACGUAAAGAAGAGCACUAAAACUAUCUCUGAUGACCUUUCUUAAAAGAAUUCUUCUAAUCCUGCAAACCUGCACCUCUUUUCUUAGAGCUUGGAGG
rnacentral:misc_RNA from 1 species